GGUAAGAUGGCCGAGCGGUCUAAGGCGCUAGCUUCAGGAUCCGAACAUCGGAACCGGAACUGCUAGUCUCUCACGAGGCGUGGGUUCGAAUCCCACUCUUAUCA